UACGUAGGGAGCGAACGUUGUCCGGAUUUAUUGGGCGUAAAGGGCUCGUAGGCGGUUCAGCAAGUCGGUCGUGAAAGCCCGGGGCUCAACCCCGGGAUGCCGGUCGAAACUGCUGUGACUUGAGUUCGGUAGAGGUGAGUGGAAUUCUCGGUGUAGCGGUGGAAUGCGCAGAUAUCGAGAGGAACACCCGUAGCGAAGGCGGCUCACUGGGCCGAUACUGACGCUGAGGAGCGAAAGCAUGGGGAGCAAACAGGAUUAGAUACCCUCGUA
rnacentral:rRNA from 1 species